ensembl:lncRNA
CAUUGUUCUGCAUGCCCCAGGCCAGAGCUGGCUGCACAACGCCGACAUCUGCGCUCGCUCUGUGCGUUCCUCAUACCACGGGGGGAUGGAAACAUCUGGGGGAAGGAUGGAGCGAGCCCUGCAGAAGGAGGAAGCCAAAUUGCAAAAGGCCCCGCUGGAACCGCCGCCCCCCGUGCUCCCCUUCUGCCUGGGAUGCCUUUAUCUCAAUGGGCUUUGAGGUGCUGUGCUCGGGGACAGGGCUGCACAGCCACCCCCCGGUGCCACCAAGCACUCUCAGCGUGGAGAAAGCUCACCUGAAUGAUUGCAGUGCCACAAAGAGGACAGAAGGUAAUAAUUAAAUCAGAGAGGCGAUGCGAGGUCCUUUCAUACCCCAGCACGUUUUUCUGUGCCUCCAGGAGCUCCCAUAGGAGGUGGAGGGUUCUGAACUGAGGGUUAUCUCAGGAAAGGUUUCCUUAAAGCACAGCACUGAGCUGCAUGGGUUUGCUGGAGGGAAUGCAGUGUGCCAUGCACUGCAGUGUGCCAUGCAUUACCAUGCGCCAUGCAUUGCUGUGUGCCAUGCACUGCUGUGUGCCAUGCAUUACCAUGUGCCAUGCAUUGCUGUGUGCCAUGCACUGCCGUGUGCCAUGCACUGCCGUGUGCCAUGCAUUACCAUGUGCCAUGCAUUGCUGUGUGCCAUGCAUUGCCAUGUGCCAUGCAUUGCCGUGCACCGGAGCAAGCCAUGAACCCUGCUUAUCGCUGUGCUGGGCGAGCGGGUCUGUUCCCAGCUCCUGCAGGUGAGUCACUUCCCCUCUAUCUCCUGCAUUUCCCAUGGGUAAAAACGGGCUUGAUAAGCACAGGUGUGUUUGAGGGAUUUAACCCCAGCGUGGCUGCACAGUGCCCUGGGGGCCGGGCUGGGUUCCUCCUCUCUUUUGUCUUCCAGGAUUUCCCUAAGGGGCACAGAACCAGAAUGGCACUGCUGGCUGCGCGGGGCUGCAGUUUGCUUCCUUGCAGCACAAAGAGCAGAGCAGAGAGCCCCCCAGCAUCCCCAGCACUGCACCCCAUGGGAUACCAGCACACCGCAUCCCCCCCACACCCCCUGCACUGCACUGCCCACCCAGGGACCCUCAGCAAGGGGGGGGGUUGCAGCCUGGGCCGGGCACCAGCAUUUCUUCCCUCUUUUUUUUAUUCCACUUUACUUUAUUAUUUUAUUUUUUUGGAGGCUUCGCCGGUGUCUGCCUGCUGACUGAAGCUGUCAUUAUCAGCUCAAUAAAUCUCUGGCGCGGGUUUUAUUGAAUCGCUGCCUGAGGGGGAACAAGCCUGUAAAGGUUGAGGAGAGCAGAGCUUUCCCACGCCUGAGACACGCUGCCGGAGCUCUUGCACACAUUCCGGGCCUGCCAGCACUCCGCAAAUGUUUGGACAGCCUUGAACAAAUAACACACCUUUAAAGAGGCCAGCAUGAAAUUCUUCCUCACCCCUCGGCCGCCCUCCCGCUGCCUCGUGCCCCCCCCCCAGCACCCCGCAGUGCUCCAUGUGUGUGUGCGCGCGGGGUUUAUUUUAGGCUCGUGGCCGUGCUCCAGUUUCGGGGAGGAGGAUGGAGGAUGGGGAUGGGAGGAGGUCUGGCUUUUCCUCCCACAGGAGGGGGAGAGCUGUGAAGAAAGCAGGGCAACAACCAUGGCCAACAGACCCAUGAGGACACGUGAGUGCUGGCUGCCCAUCUCCCUGAGCUCAUUUCGUGGUCCUACAGCGGGAAGAAGACAAGAGGGUUCCAUACCACGGGACGUGACUUUGCCUUCCAACCAUUGGGUGAUGCCAACGUCCCCCUGGAGGUCAGUUCGGACGAGGUGCCAAGAGCACAGACACACUCUGGAAAUCUCAUUCCACACACCCACCCCUCCUCCCUCCUCGUUAUCCUUUAACUUCCCAAGGCGACCCGUCCCCCUGUUUGCUUGUGGCUGCCACCGCGCCGCAUCGCUCGGCCCUGAGGUCACUGGGGAUUGACACCUUCACCCAAAGCCCCGGAUUCCACCCUGCCCUCCUUAGAGAUGCACCAGGCUGUCAGUAACGAGGCCACAGGUUUAUUCAGUGGAGAUCCCCAGAUCUCAAAAGAUAAUCUGGGAAUAAUUGGGACUUAAGGAACUUGUGUGAAUCUGAUUUUUCUGCGGCGCUGCCAUUCACGAAACAGAUGGACAUCUUAUUUCUCCCUAAUUUGAUGGGCUUUCUUGACAAAAUGGCAGAGGUUGCACUUUGCUACAAUAAUAACCUGCCACUCAGACUUUGUAAGGGGUUUGUGUAGAUUUCUUCUUAAUUAGACCGUGUCUCGCUAUCGGCGAGCUGCGUGCGUGUGUGCAGAGCAGGGAGAUGGGGAGCAGCUCCUCUGCAUGACAGAGCCUGCAAAAGAGUGGGGAGGAAUCAGGGGGCUUUCAUGUUUGUGUCACUGGCUGCUUUUUGUUGUUUUUUUUUUUUUUUUUUAAGUCUCAUUUGGAAAAUAAAGAUUGGGAUGUGAGCUCAUUGUCUGGAUGAUAAUGUAUUCAUGGAUUUGCUCCCUCUCGCCCUGCAACCGAACAACAGUGCUGGGGCAGCUUCCAGGUUGGGGAGCAAGCCUGAAGGCACUGCAAACCCUUGGGAUUACUCUCAGGUUUGCAAAAACCACUUUUCACUUGCAAAAGAUUCCCAGUGCUGCCGUUUAACCCCCGACCUCCUAUUCUGCCUCCCUUUCUCUCCCAGCCCCUAGCAAAGUGGAUCCUUUGGUCAAGGCAUGGAACUGGGUCUACUCCAGCACCCCACUGUCAGCCAGCAGCACGCUUUCCUUGCUAUCCACUGUGCAAGGAAAAAGCAAUUGGGAACUUUUUGAUUACUCAGAUCCUUAAUUGAGCUCUGAUGUCUGGUUACGGUACCAAACAAAACUCAUCCACAAAUAGAAAUUGUUGGGUUGAGUGUUAUUUUUGCUCAUCUCGCUUUUGUGCCUUUAGAGAUAGGGCCCUUAGCUCAGCUCCGGAUGACAUUGUCC